UACAGAGGUCUCAAGCGUUGUUCGGAUUCAUUGCGCGUAAAGGGUGCGUAGGCGGCGCGGUAAGUCGGGUGUGAAAUCUCGGAGCUUAACUCCGAAACUGCAUUCGAUACUGCCGUGCUUGAGGACUGGAGAGGAGACUGGAAUUUACGGUGUAGCGGUGAAAUGCGUAGAUAUCGUAAGGAAGACCAGUGGCGAAGGCGGGUCUCUGGACAGUUCCUGACGCUGAGGCACGAAGGUCAGGGGAGCAAACGGG
rnacentral:rRNA from 1 species